UACGUAGGGUGCGAGCGUUAAUCGGAAUUACUGGGCGUAAAGCGUGCGCAGGCGGUUUUGUAAGCCAGAUGUGAAAUCCCCGGGCUUAACCUGGGAAUGGCAUUUGGGACUGCAAGGCUCGAGUGCGGCAGAGGAGACUGGAAUUCCUGGUGUAGCAGUGAAAUGCGUAGAUAUCAGGAGGAACACCGAUGGCGAAGGCAGGUCUCUGGGCUGACACUGACGCUCAUGUACGAAAGCGUGGGGAGCAAACAGG
rnacentral:rRNA from 1 species